AACAAACGCUGGCGGCGUGCCUAACACAUGCAAGUCGUACGAGAAAGUCGGCUUCGGCCGAUGAGUACAGUGGCGCACGGGUGAGUAGCGCGUGGGUAAUCUGCCCCCCGGUCAGGAAUAACCCGCCGAAAGGCGGGCUAAUACCCGAUAACACUGACGCUCCGCGGAGCGUCUUUCAAAGAAGGCCUCUGUUUACAAGCUUUCGCCGGAGGAUGAGCCCGCGUACCAUUAGCUAGUUGGCAGGGUAAUGGCCUACCAAGGCGAAGACGGGUAGCCGGUCUGAGAGGAUGGCCGGCCACACUGGAACUGAGACACGGUCCAGACUCCUACGGGAGGCAGCAGUGGGGAAUAUUGGGCAAUGGGGGAGACCCUGACCCAGCGACGCCGCGUGAGGGAUGAAGGUUUUCGGAUCGUAAACCUCUGUUGUACGGGAAGAAGGACUUGACGGUACCGUACGAGGAAGCCCCGGCAAACUACGUG
rnacentral:rRNA from 1 species